CUGGAGGCUACACACAGCUGUCUGUGUUCCCCAAUUUUUUCCAAGAUCUUCUGGAAGGGAAGAAAGAGGAGCAAAAGGGGAUUGGGGGAAAGGGAGUGAAAGUAAGAAAUGUUCUUCCAAAGAUUUUCCUGCUCCUUUGCUGAAUGAGUGUAAGGAAUGCCAGCCUCUCCUAACCACCAGGAUAAAGACAGAGAAGAGAAAGGGCUCCCCCACUGGGGCACGUCCGGGAGCACCUGGAGGGUGUGAGACUGCUCACAUUUUAAAGAGGGAAAGAAGACAGGAGGCUGACUUGUGCGCCCUUACCGUUCAGAUUUCUAGGAGCCUGGAGCUGCGAAUUUGAGUAGUGGUAGAAUCUUGUUUUUGUUUUGGGAUGGAUAUGGGAGGGGUUGGUUUUCGUUUUCUUUUUUUUUUGUUUUGGUUUUUAAUUAAAGAUAGAAGGGGUGCUCGUCUACACUCUGAAGCUCGAGGGUAGGGGGAGCCUUUUCAAUACACAGUAAGUCCAAGUGUAUUCCUGCCCCCCUUCCCCUCCACCCAAGUCAUCACCUACGUAAGACCUUUUUUGAGCAAGGAAGAGCCUCAGACCUUUCCUCCCGACACACCCUUACGGUGACAAGUGAAAACAGCAGAAUUCCUUUCUCUUCCACUCCAAACUUGCCCCCCCUCCUUUCUGGGGUGGUGUUUAAACAGGAUUUCCUUACUGGCUUUUUUUUUUCCUAUCCUUCAUUUUUUGCAAUGGUCACGGCCUUCCUGAGAGAGACCAAGGAGGACUAUGUGGAACACGCUACAUAUGAAAGAUUGAGCGAGCUGCAGGGUUUUAGGACAGGAGGAGAAAGGGGUGUGUGUAGAUGAAAAUCGGGACCCUGGCGUACCCCCAUCCCCCCUUUCCCCAGGCAGCUGCACUUACCUCGUCCACGGUCAGAGGCAUGCAUAUCCGGUACUCCUUCAAGAGCAUAUUCUUGCUGUCCCGGGGGUUGGUGCAGAGCAGCGAACCUCAGAAGAACCUCGCCGGGCGGGCGAGUUCGAGUUCUAUCUGCACCCUCUCCGAGGCGAGGCAGGCCCCCCGAAGCAGGCACUGGGGGGGGCAGCCCCCCAGGCAAACCAGCUUUCUCAAACACGGGCGAGACCGAGUGCUAGCAUACAGACACCCAAGCGCUGCCCGGAGCAGAAAACAACACCCCCCCCCCCGACCGUUCGGAGCUGCUGCUGCUGCUAUUGCUGCUGCUUCUGCUUCCUUCCUCCUCACGCGGAGAGCAAGUCAAGUCUUUCCAAAUGUUAAUGUCACCAGGAGCCCAUUGCAGCUGAAGAGAAAGGAGAGAGAUGCUGACUUCACCAGACAAAGGCUUGAUAUAUUUUUCUCCUCGGGCGGUAAACAAGAUUUCCAGUCCCCGUCCCCCCCACCCCAGGCAACUCCCGGUUUAGCUAACGCCGGGGUUGAAAGGAGGAACAAUCCCCGCUUAGCAUUGCUUUGCUCCUAG
rnacentral:lncRNA from 1 species